GAAGUCGCUGCUAGUCAGCAUGGCUAAUUAGAGUUUAGUCAUUGUGGCAGGCUCAGUAAGGCAUGUAUGGUUUCUUUAUUAAUGUUCUUGUCUUAUUCUUUCAUUACCUCCCCAGUGUGUUUGAACACAGACGUUUAAUGAAAACUUUGCUUUUAUAAGAAGUUUUAACUUGUGUGGAAGGUGUCAUGACACUUUAACAUGAACCCCUUGUAUUUCACUUUGGUUACAGUUUAAUCUACAUUAGAAAAUACCACGACAAAAGAUAUUCUUGUAAUGAAAGUAAUAACUGAUGUAAGUGUCCUGACUCUAUACAAUGAUAACUAAAAAAUUGAUUUUAUGUGCCAUCCUCUAAAUCUUUAAAAGAGGUCUAAUAUCUUAUUUCCUUAUAAAUAUCUAUUUUAAUUAGAUUAUUAUUAUAAAAACCUGUCAAACCCCCUCACUUUAUAAAAAAGUAAAAUAUUAGUAUAAUUAAAAUUUGCAUUAUAAAUCCUUACAAUUUUUACAUUGUUAUUGACCCAGACAUGGGUCAAUACAUUGCACAUGAUCUUUAUUGAAAGGUAAAGUUAAGAAGUUUUGCUAAAUAUAGAAUAUUUAGGCUACAAAGUAUAUACAAGGAAAACAUUAUAGAAGAGCAUACAGCCGUUUGGCAGUGUAUGAAUUACAGCAAGAAGCCUGAAAAAGGAAGUUACAAAAAAGAAUUCUUAAUUUAGGUUGAAAAAAUCUGGAAAUGUUUUUUGUUUAUGGCUAGGAUUGGUGAAUCGAGGCAAUUGGAUUUGAAAGGGUAGUCACUUAAAAGCAGAGCUGUGGAAGAUUUUCUUGUUAAGGUUAUGAAUAGGGAAUGUGCAUUGAUUAUGUUAAGUUAAGAUUUAGGGAAGCAAUACUAAUUUUGUUUACAGUUGUGAAAAAGCAUGAAACAUGAAAGUGAUACUGCCUGAGGGGGGUAGAACAUAUUAUGUCUGAACAGGUAUAGGAUAAAAGAUUUCUGGUUAAGAUUUAGUGAUACUCUAAAAGUUACAAGAUAUGAUUAAGGUUAGGUGAAAAACAAAAAUGCUUUUAGAGAAUGGUUAUAGUUACUGUACAGUUAGAGAAGGUGUGGAUUAAAGUAAGUGUCGGAAAGACUGUUCACAUUGAGGUUGGAGUUGGUUAAAUAGGACUAGUUACAAUUAGAAGAAAAGGUAGUUAUAACAAAAAGACCGGUAAUAAAAUGUUUUUCAUUUUUUCAUAAAGUCAAUUUUAAGACUGAGGUAAGAGCUAAAAUAUUUUAUAUGGAUUAUAAAAUUUUAAAAAAAUGACUGAAACAGACUGGUGUAUCAUCAAGAGAUGAUCUCUGCCUGGCACCCAGUGCUGCUGAGAUAGGCUCUGACUUAAGCAGAUUUGAGACUGUUAUUCAUGAAUGAAUAAAUAAAAUAAAUGAAUAAAAUAAAUACAAUUGAACUAAUUUUUUAUGUAUCUACUUAAAGUAUUAUGCCUCCUUAGCUACAUUGCAUUGUGCUCCAAAACAAUUGCAAAUUACUCCAUUCUAUUCUCUAGAAAAUGCUAAAUCAGGUAAGCAGUACUUCUUUGUAUUGUAUAUAUUUAAACACUCCUAUCAAUCCUACUACCCCCGAAAAAAUGUCAUCUUUUCUGGAUUGCAUAUCCUAUUAUUAGUAAUUAUAGGUGUGUGUUUUUAUUUUGUUUUUGGUUUUUUUUAAGAACAGCAAAACUUUCAGUUUCUUUUCUAAGAUUGAUUUUUAGUAAAACAGAUGAGUUCUUUCAUUUUGACUUGGGCUCCUUGAACUUUUUUUUUUUUCUUUUCCUGGAGUUUCUAAUCAGAGGACUGAAUGGUUAUAACAGAUAGCUAUCUCUAUAAUUUGGUCUUUCAUUGUUGAUUGUUUUGGUAUAGCAUCCCUAGUUAUAAGGAAAACAUUUUUAUAGUCAUUUAAAAGUUAUAAUGUGUAACAUUAUUUCUUUAAGCCAAAAUAAAGUACUUAUCCCCAGAAA